AUACAGAAAGGUGACAUUUGAGAGAACAAUUGCUAGGUUGUUUGGCCACGUUUGCUGCUAUGAAUGAGGCUUAAGAAAAGCUGUCUUUGGAUUUUGCUCCUAAGAGUCAUCUUCAUCACUCCUGCACGCGAGCACGCGCUCUCUCUCUCUCCUUUUCUCAGUUCCCUUAUGAAAUAAGGGCACACAGGUAAUAAACAAAGCACUAUAAAAGAUCAGAUUGAGGUAUUCUGUCGGCUCAUUCAAUGUCGGGAGCGGGCACUCGGCACACCAGCGCUGGGUGCUUUUUGCUUCAGGAGCAGGUUGGAAAGUGAGGGAGAGAUGGCACGUCUCGCCCCCUUUCUCUAACCUGGCUGAAUUUAUCAAGACCGUGUCCUUGGUCCACCGCACCACACCCGCCGGCGCCUGAGGGACAGAGGGAAACAUGGCAGAGCAGCUCCCCUUGGAUGCUGCUCCGUUGGAUCUUGGAGCUUGACCUGACUUUCUCUGUCCAUCCUCUUGCCAGAUCCAGUGGUCAAAGGAGGAGACUCGACGGCCUUUUCUUUUUCCUUCAUUUUUUUCAAAGAAGCCAAACGAGAACCUUGAUCGGCUGCUCCAGACAACAGUGUUCAUCGCAGGACUUGCCAAGACUGGGUGGAGAGGUCUUUACACCUAAGUCGCUCAGCUCCUCCUUUGGUAGCCUCGGUCCUGAGCGUGAACGUGAGGAUGCUGUGGCCUUUUGCUCUCGGCAUCACUGGCAUCACUACAGACGGUGCGGUGCGCACUGUCCGCAGCAAGACCUCGCAAAUGGAGGAAAAGUCAAGUGAGAGACGGUCCGCGGGGCCUUCUCUCGCCUGCCACAAACUGGCGUCAUUUUGGCUGCCAUCCCAGGGAGGAAAAGCCAGCCUCCAGAAACAGGGACGGGGGCAAUCGGGAGCUGACGUGAGAAAACUGACGUUGCUGUCCUCAGAAUGGGACAGGAAAACUGAGCAGGAAUUAACACGAGCGAAGAGUCGGCGGGAGUGCUUUUAGAGGAAGUCAAUCUAUGGGCGUUUCCAAGAAAGGAAGACGGAAUUCAGCGGGGCGCAUCAGAAAGAAAAAGAAUUAUGUCCACCACUCUCCCAACUGAUCUGCUAAAUGCAAAGACGCACACACCCCCCCUUCUUGUUUUAUCGAUUCCUGCAUCAGUGGGCACGUUUGAUGAGGGUUUGUGUUCUUUCAUUUAUGUUCUAUUACUCCAACUCCAACCACGUGUGCACAGGCGGGCACACACGUGGACACACACUCUUGUGUGAGCAUGUGCUACCCCCCCACACACACACACACCCUGCAGCCUAUAAUCUUCCCCUACGCCCCUAUCCUGUUGAUCUUUCUUCAUUUAAAAAUUAUCGGCAAAGAAUUUAUUCAUUUGGGAGAAUUCCAGGCACUACACUUACGUUCAGUUCCAAUGAAAUGGGAUCCAGACUUUGCAAACUCUGCUGUUUUGCAGAUAAAACACAAAAGCGGGACCUCGUUGUUUGGAGACAUGGCCUUUUGUUUCUAAGCCAUUUUAAGCUUGCUUGGGAAGGCUCAUAACUGGGGCCGAACAUUUUUCACCACAUCUAUUUCAGGAGGGUUUUUAGUUAAGAAUAAUGAAUUUAUCUCUAAACAGAUGGAAGAGUUUUACAAAGCUAGAAAAGAUACUUUUGCUAAUAUCCCCUAUAGGCUGGUCUUAAUCUUCUCAUUGUUCAAAAUGCUUGGUCUAUGAGAGACUUAUUUAUGUGCCAAAUGUCUUUAUUAAAUCAUUAUAUUAACACAG
rnacentral:lncRNA from 1 species